UGUACCUUCCUCCAAUCCUGUCUACUCAGUUGAUGUUUGCGUUUCCUGGAUCAGUCGGAGGUCUGGAUCAUUCCCUUGCUGCAUCUGUUGAGUGUCAGGCUGCUGGUGGUCUUGCUGUGUUUUCUCCACUCAGGUACUCACCAGUUUCAGAUGCACCCUGGUCCUCUCCCUGUUCAUGUUUGUUUUACUCCAGAUGAAGUUGUGCAAAUAUGGAGACAAGAGAGGACAAAACACCAUUCCUGUUCACGACCAAGGAGUGCUUGCCACAGCCCACCAUCUCCAGUGGCAAGGCUUUGCCACCACUUUGCCAUCACCACGGGGCACGGAGUGCCAUGAGCUGUGUGGAGCUGAGCAGUGAGGAGGAGAUGGCCGUGCACGUAGCGUGGAAGCUUUGACUUCAUGUGUUUGCAACCUAGUGUCAGAAACACUUGGAGAGAUCCCAACCUGGAAGACAAACAUUAAGUGAUUGGGAGCACAAUCUGAAGCCAAGUGUGUGAGGUGAUUCAGUUUAGAAUUUAAGAUCUGCUCAUUUGCUGUUUAGCAUCUGUGAAGGCUGGAAAGCCAAGUACACAGCCUAGCAAAGGGAGCAUGGGUUCAGAUUCAGCUGCAUCUCAAGCAGGCAAUAGAUUGCUAUGACAGUAGCUUCUCACAGAAGUGAGCCUGGGAUCACAGAUAGUUAUUUUCACGUGAUAGAGAUCCCUAAGGGGUGCUGUGCAGUGCAGACCAAGAUAUGCUAACUGGCCCAAGUCCUAAUUCCAGCUGAAGAAACCAUGGUUUUCUCUAUCCAAUUCCUGCUUUUGGCAUCGAGCUUUUUAUCAAGACCAUAGAAAUGCUGCAGAAGACGUAUCUGGCCCAAGACUAAUUAGUUUACCUCUUGGAACGGACUGCACAUUGCAGCACACAAACAGGUAACUGAUACCACUGACCUUGGCAAGAAGAGAGAGGUCCAAUGCCAGUAAAGGUAUUAUUCUGCAGCUCAAGCAUCUGUCUCAGAGUCCUUCCUCCUUCCUCAUCCACUUUCAUCAUCAAUCAAAACCUGGAAGCACCUGAAAUCAGCACUGUCUUCUGCAAGUCUUUGAUGUAGGUGCCAAUUCAUGUACCCUCUGGGAUUUCUGUAUGGAACAUACUGAUACAAAACUGUUCACCUCAAACUGGAUGCAGGGCACCAUCAGAACAGAAUUGGAAGCUCCACUCCUAAAGCUGCUUUGACGUUUAGCUGUGUUCAGUUCACCUAGAAAGAGCAUUGCAGAGCUGCCAAAAUCAGACUAACUGCCAGCCAGACUGCCUGGCUGGCAAAGCCUCACCUCCCUCUCUGCCUUCCCUGCUACCUGCGGCACAGGGGUGACCUGAUGUGCCUUGGCCAUGCAGCACACAAGACAGAGGCAGCAAAUCCGGCAUCCAAAUAGGGAUUCCAGUAACUGGCUAAAUCUGCUUGGAGAGCUGGCUGCCAGCUGACACACUCAUAGCCAUCUGCAUCUGGAUUGUCCUGACAGUGCUCCUUCACAGCAGGACCAGAUACUUGCAAGAGUAUUUUCAACUUACCUUGCUGCCCCUUUCUCCUCUCUGGAGAAGGGAGACCCUAAAAACUUACAGGAUCUUUCUCACUGACAUUAAAAUAGCCCCCCAACAUACCUACUCCCUCUAGAGUCAGAAGAGGUUUGUGCUACUUGGAUCCCUUAGUUGUCAUGCACUGUGGCUAGCAGAAGUUCAUGUCAUUCCAUUCUCUUCUCAUUUAUGCCUCUUUUUCCUUUCCCUUUUCCCUUUCUCUUUCCCCCCCUUCUUUUUUUUUCCCCGAGCCAUGCAUCACAGUUCAGGUCCGUGUUUGUAAUAGGAGCUCUGUAAGACCUUCCUUAACCUCUUAAUAUUUCUGAUUAUCACCUUUCAUUACAGGAUUUUUUUUCUGCUGGGUAAUUUAAUUGUGAUAUUUGGAAAAUGGACAUGAUAAGAACUGUUUGUGGUAAAUCUCCUGUUUUCUCUGUAGCACUAAGCAAUACUGUUAGCAGUAAAAAAAACACCGGAGAGGUUCCCAUACAAAGCUCUUCCCAAACUCCCUAUACAGUGCUAAACAGGCUCCUGUGCAGACUGAGGACUGCAGUGGCAUUUCAGUGAGAUUUAUCUCAGUGGCUACAUCUGCCUCUUCUGUUCAAGUGGUUGCAAAUCUGUGAAACAAUUACUUGAAAUGCUGUGACCCUCUUCAUCUGGGCCCUGCAAAAGGCUGUCAUUUAACAGGGAAAUUAAAUUAAAACAAUGCAAAAAA